rnacentral:rRNA from 1 species
UGGGGAAUAUUGGACAAUGGGCGAAAGCCUGAUCCAGCCAUGCCGCGUGUGUGAAGAAGGUCUUCGGAUUGUAAAGCACUUUAAGUUGGGAGGAAGGGCAGUAAGCGAAUACCUUGCUGUUUUGACGUUACCGACAGAAUAAGCACCGGCUAACUCUGUGCCAGCAGCCGCGGUAAUACAGAGGGUGCAAGCGUUAAUCGGAAUUACUGGGCGUAAAGCGCGCGUAGGUGGUUCGUUAAGUUGAAUGUGAAAGCCCCGGGCUCAACCUGGGAACUGCAUCCAGAACUGGCGGGCUAGAGUAGGGCAGAGGGUGGUGGAAUUUCCUGUGUAGCGGUGAAAUGCGUAGAUAUAGGAAGGAACACCAGUGGCGAAGGCGACCACCUGGGCUCAUACUGACACUGAGGUGCGAAAGCGUGGGGAGCAAACAGG